UACGGAGGGUGCGAGCGUUGUCCGGAAUCACUGGGCGUAAAGGGCGCGUAGGUGGCCUGUGGAAGUCUGCGGUGAAAGCCCGGCGCUCAACGCCGGGUCGGCCGUGGAUACUCUCGGGCUUGAGCUUACUAGAGGCAGAUGGAAUUCCGGGUGUAGCGGUGGAAUGCGUAGAGAUCCGGAAGAACACCGGUGGCGAAGGCGGUCUGCUGGGGUAAUGGCUGACACUG
rnacentral:rRNA from 1 species